AUUAAUAUUGAAAUGCCAGCUGAAGGGAUACUUUUAUAUAAAAACAACUUCAGUCAUUUAAAGUUGAGUAUAAUAACCAAACGCCAGAAUCCAAGCGAUAUAUUGCGACAUAACCAUUGUAAAACGAAUCAGAUUUAGAUCAUUCUUGACAUUGUUUCUACACGGACCAUCUAUAGGACAGGAAUGACCGGAAACACAUAAGACACAAUCACAACAACACACGGGCCUAUGUCUAACUAGCUACACGAAAUCGAAGUGAAAUUGCAUAGAUAAUCUAACAAUAGCAACAUUUUAUGUUACUUUACUCAACUUUUUAAAGAAACGAAACACUGGUAAGACAGCGUAAGGAGUCAGUAUGUUCAGUUUUUUCGGACAUCGUAAUAAAGACUCUUACAAGAAGUCAUCGUCAGAGGGGGAUACAGAUGGGUUCGUGAUAAUCGGAGAAACUGUUGAGGAACAGAGGCAGAAGAUCCAAAACGUGAACAUCAGCAAACCAUCAUGUAACGUCAUAGUGCAACCAUCAAAGUCUUCCAGUGCGACACCUUCCCAGGCCCACCAGUCUCCAGCCCCGCUCCACCUUCCGUGAUCGCCCCAUCACCAGGGCCCAUGUGGAAGCCCCCUGCCCCCAUCGCGGAGGCCCCACCGUCUCUCCCAGAGCUACUAGGAGAUGUCCCAUUCACCCUGGCCCCCCAUGUCCUGGCCAUGCAGACAGGGGGUCCCGGGUUCCCCCCUCUUUUCUGAGAUGCUGAUGUCCCCCCCGAGACAUCAACCACAACCUGGCCUCCUUCACUUACGACUUCACCCUGGAGAACUCUGUGCUCUGUGACCAUUGACCUGUCUACUUUCUGACUGUAUGACCUCUGACCUUUUUGAUCUGUCAACCUCUCCUCCAAUACCAACCCUUUGUCAACCCUGGGUCGUGUUCAUUGGGAAGCAAACAAACAGGGCGGGACAACCUGGGCUUGCCUAAUAAGAAAGGCACAUUUUUGUUUUCCUUUGCAAAGAGUUUAGCUACAUGUGCUCUACUGAACACAACCUUGGACUGUCUUGUCUCGUUACCAUUCAGGUUUAGUUUCAGUUCCAUGGGGGUCUGUCUGAGAAUGGCAGUACUAUAAUAAACCUGGUUCUGGUGAUGAUCAUCAUUAGGUGGGGUCAAAAUUGCACCUGCCUGCAGUGAUGUAGGUACACACAGUAUGUAGGUAGAUGGGUACACAGAGUUCCACCUUUUUAAGAUUGCGGACUAGGAAAACUAGUUAAGAAUGUUAAUCACUUGCUGAUGCAUGUCAUAGUAGUGCUGGUUCACUGUUUUAAGUGUGUGUGUGUGUCAGAAGAGCGUUAGCUUCAUGUCUGAUGAUAGGAAUGUUUGAACAUAGCUGAGGCUGGCAUUGAAGAACAGAGUCAGGGUCUAGAUUCACCUGCUGUUGUUGUUGGUUUAGGAAUCACUGAUUGACCUUUUGGGUUUGCACUAAUGUACGUACCAGACAGAUUUCAAAUCGAAUCUUAGGAAGGAAAUUACUUCUUUAUCUGGUUACGUUUUUUUAACCUGGUGUCCUCACCUUUGCCAAUGAAGUUUACAAGACAAGACAACAAGACAUUUCC